rnacentral:rRNA from 1 species
GAUGAACGCUGACAGAAUGCUUAACACAUGCAAGUCCACUUGAACUUCGGUUUGGGUGGCGGACGGGUGAGUAACGCGUAAAGAACUUGCCUCACAGCUAGGGACAACAUUUGGAAACGAAUGCUAAUACCUGAUAUUAUGAUUAUAUGGCAUCGUAUAAUUAUGAAAGCUAUAUGCACUGUGAGAGAGCUUUGCGUCCCAUUAGCUAGUUGGAGAGGUAACAGCUCACCAAGGCGAUGAUGGGUAGCCGGCCUGAGAGGGUGAUCGGCCACAAGGGGACUGAGACACGGCCCUUACGCCUACGGGAGGCAGCAGUGGGGAAUAUUGGACAGUGGACCGAGAGUCUGAUCCAGCAAUUCUGUGUGCACGAUGAAGUUUUUCGGAAUGUAAAGUGCUUUCAGUUGGGAAGAAAAAAAUGACGGUACCAACAGAAGAAGGGACGGCUAAAUACGU